rnacentral:rRNA from 1 species
UGAAUACGAGAUGCUACGGCGUCGAAGCAGUCUAUGUCAUACUUCCAAGAAAAGCUCGCACUGUCAUAAACAAAUAAUGCCUGUACCAUAACCGACACAGGUGGGUAGGUAGAGUAUACUAAGGGGCGCGAGAUAACUCUCUCUAAGGAACUCGGCAAAAUGACUCCGUAACUUCGGGAGAAGGAGUGCCUUAUUUAUAAGGUUGCAAUAACAAGAUCCAAGCAACUGUUUAUCAAAAACACAGGUCUCCGCUAAGUCGUAAGACGAUGUAUGGGGGCUGACGCCUGCCCAGUGCCAGAAGGUUAAAGAAGUUGGUUAGCAUUCGCGAAGCUGAUAACUGAAGCCCUGGUGAACGGCGGCCGUAACUAUAACGGUCCUAAGGUAGCGAAAUUCCUUGUCGGGUAAGUUCCGACCCGCACGAAAGGCGUAAUGAUUUGGAUACUGUCUCGGAGAGGGGCUCGGUGAAAUAGACUUGUCUGUGAAGAUGCGGACUACCUGCACCAGGACAGAAAGACCCUAUGAAGCUUUACUGUAACUUGAGAUUGAAAUUGGACUUUACUUGCGCAGUAUAGGUGGGAGGCGUUGAUAAUAUUCUUGCGGGAUUAUUUGAGCCAUCAGUGAGAUACCACUCUUGUAAUGUUAGAUUUCUAACUUUGUAUCAUUAUCUGGUCAAAGGACAGUUUCAGGCGGGCAGUUUGACUGGGGCGGUCGCCUCCUAAACGGUAACGGAGGCGCACAAAGGUUUCCUCUGAACGGGUAGAAAUCGUAUCUAGAGUGUAAAGGCAUAAGGAAGCUUGACUGUGAGACCUACAAGUCGAGCAGGGACGAAAGUCGGUCUUAGUGAUCUGACGGUGCUGAGUGGAAAGGCCGUCACUCAACGGAUAAAAGUUACUCUAGGAUAACAGGCUGAUCUCCCCCAAGAGUUCACAUCGACGGGGAGGUUUGGCACCUCGAUGUCGGCUCAUCGCAUCCUGGGGCGGUAGUACGUCCCAAGGGUUGGGCUGUUCGCCCAUGAAAGCGGUACGCGAGCUGGGUUCAGAACGUCGUGAGACAGUUCGGUCCAUAUCCGGUGUAGGCGUUAGAAUAUUGAGAGGAGCCUUCUUUAGUACGAGAGGACCGAGAAGGACAUACCUCUGGUGUACCAGUUAUCGUGCCAACGGUAAGCGCUGGGUAGCUAUGUAUGGAGUGGAUAACCGCUGAAAGCAUCUAAGUGGGAAGCCCACCUCAAGAUAAGUAUUCUCAC